ACGAACGCUGGCGGCGUGCUUCACACAUGCAAGUCGCACGGAAAGGCCCUGCUUGUGUGGGGUGCUCGAGUGGCGAACGGGUGAGUAACACGUGAGUAACCUGCCCUUGACUUUGGGAUAACUUCAGGAAACUGGGGCUAAUACCGGAUAGGAGCUCCUGCUGCAUGGUGGGGGUUGGAAAGUUUCGGCGGUUGGGGAUGGACUCGCGGCUUAUCAGCUUGUUGGUGGGGUAGUGGCUUACCAAGGCUUUGACGGGUAGCCGGCCUGAGAGGGUGACCGGCCACAUUGGGACUGAGAUACGGCCCAGACUCCUACGGGAGGCAGCAGUGGGGAAUAUUGCACAAUGGGCGGAAGCCUGAUGCAGCAACGCCGCGUGCGGGAUGACGGCCUUCGGGUUGUAAACCGCUUUCGCCUGUGACGAAGCGUGAGUGACGGUAAUGGGUAAAGAAGCACCGGCUAACUACGUG
rnacentral:rRNA from 1 species